GGGUUAGUAGGUUGGUCGUGCUUAUGGUGUACACUGGCUUUACUGAUUCCUCCUUCUUGAAGAACUGUAAUGUCAUUAGUUUGGUGUUGCAGGGAAACAGGACUGCUACUUUGAAAAAAUUAGAGUGUUUAAAGCAGGCUAACGCUUGAAUACAUUAGCAUGGAAUAAUGAAAUAGGACGUUUGACCCUAUUUUGUUGGUUUCUAGGAUUGACGUA
rnacentral:rRNA from 1 species